UGAGGUCAGUUUCUGGCUUGAGAAAUGCUACGUGAUUGGGUUUUAUAUGCAGUGCAGUCAGACCCCACAACCCCUGUGGACCAACUGUGUGAUUCAUACAGGGUAAAGCAAGUCUUUACACAUGUAACUAGCAUUGAUUACAUUAUUCAUUCCUGAGUCUUCUGGUGUAUCUUGGUUAAAGGAAAGCUCUUCGAAAAUGCUGUCACAUAAUGAUGUCUUUUUUCUUUUUUUUUAAAGAACCAAUCACAGCACUGCAAUGCUAUGAUUGGCUCUUUAAGUUGGUUCUGUGGCCAAUGACCAGCUUAAUCUGCCUGCAGACUUGUUGCUGGAAGGUGGCUUCCUGUUGUAUUUGGCUAUUGUAUGGGUUACAAAACAAUCUGGAUGAGUCAUAGAUGGUCUCAUCAACAUGAAUGAUGUCAGCGUUAUGCAUAUUUCAGAGUACAUGUUUUGAAAGUAUCUCAGUCAAGCCACCUUACAUGCAUCAUCAUCUGGUAUAAUGUGAUUGUCAUUGAAAUAACCUAAAGUAAUGAUGAGAGCUGUGGACGUCAGCAUGGAUGUGCAGUGUACAAUACCUGUCUGUCACAUCCACAGCUUCCCACUGCCAGCCUGGAGACAUUAGCACACAAAGCUUUGAGUGACACACCUGGUGGUAGUCUUGGAUGUGCGUGUGUGAGGGGGGAGGGGGGGAGCUGGCUGGCUGGCUACUGACUCCAUCCGUGAGUGGUGCGUCGGCGGAGCUAUGAAUGGGCAGAGAGGGGUGUACUCUCACAGACACCAUAGCAGCAGUGAGAUGAGUGUCAUUUACCCCACUGCACGCCUACUGUACUGAGAGGAGAAAAGAGAGGGAAGGAGUUGCACAGCCAAAGUUUGCAAGAAAAACAGAGUGAUCCAUCCUAAGUCCCCACAGCCCCGAACAUCUGAGGAAAAACUUUCAAGUCAGCCAUGGAGCAGAAGACAAAUGAGUGUCCCACCAACACCUCUCCUCAGAAACACAUGAAAAAUAGGUCUAAGUCCACAGAGGAGGUACAGCAGUCAAAGAAGGCCUUUUCCUCACAAAAAUCACUCCCAGGCAGACCAGAGCUGGAGAGAGUGAAGGAAUGUCCUGAUGGCUCUGAGACACCGUCAUCCUCCAGCGAAGAACUGAAAUGAUGAACAAAGCCAAAAAAAGAUGCCAUAAAGCUACAUCAUCAUAAACCUGAGACAUAAAAUGUGCAGAUGUACACAGAGGAACAUGCAGAAUAGUAUAUGAAAAAAAUGCAAGCCGUGAAUUGAUUAAAAGGAGAGAAUUGGACUAAAACACACACACACACACACACACACACACACACACACACACACACACACACACACACAAAAA